GGGCCGGUAGCUCAGUUUGGAAGAGCGCCACGUUGGCAUCGUGGAGAGUCGCGAGUUCAAAUCUCGCCCGGUCCACCA
rnacentral:tRNA from 1 species